CCUACGGGGGGCAGCAGUAGGGAAUUUUCCGCAAUGGGCGCAAGCCUGACGGAGCAACGCCGCGUGAGGGAUGAAGGUUUUCGGAUCGUAAACCUCUGUCUUCAGGGACGAUAAUGACGGUACCUGAGGAGGAAGCCACGGCUAACUACGUGCCAGCAGCCGCGGUAAUACGUAGGUGGCGAGCGUUGUCCGGAAUUACUGGGCGUAAAGGGCGUGUAGGCGGCCUUUUAAGUCAGAUGUGAAAUCUCAGGGCUUAACCCUGAAACUGCAUUUGAAACUGGAGGGCUUGAGGA
rnacentral:rRNA from 1 species